rnacentral:lncRNA from 1 species
GACUCUCAGCUCUCCUCCUCCUUCUCCUCCUCCUGCUGCACCUUCUUCCUCUGUGUUCGCCUUUGGAAGAUUUUACUCCGCAAAGACGUUAAACUGUGCAUUGAAAUUGGACUUCGUUCUAUUGGACCUAGGCGUAUCUUUUUUUUUUUCCUGACCAGGAAAAAAAACUGUUCUUCUUAUUUAAAGAUACGAUCGGGGUUAAACAAAAUAUCAAUUAUUAUUUAGAUUUUUGGAUGGAAUUACCAAUAGCAUCAGAUUACUUUGUAGCAUGGUAAGGUGUCCCGGUCACUGAUGUUGUAGUUAUGAGGCUGCCUUGGCGAUUUUUCAUUAUUUUGGCGGUUCUGGUUUCUCCGACAUGGGCUGAAGGUAAGUUAUUUCACACA